rnacentral:rRNA from 1 species
AACCAAAAGAUUAAGUUAUAUAGAUAGGUUAAAAGACAGUUAGGUGUAGAAAAAAGCUUGAUAACUUUCUAUAAAAAGGUAAAAUUUGAAUAUAAAUAAAGUAAUUUUUUUUAAGCUAAGAUACUGAAGCUGUGAUAAUUUUGAGGGAAACUGGGAUUAGAUACCCCAUUAUUCAUAAUUGUAAAUUAAUGUAAAUUUACCAGAGUACUAUGAAUAUUUAUAAAAUUUAAAACUCAAAGGGCUUGGCGGUGUUUUAGACCAAUUAGGGGAACCUGUCUCAUAAUCGACAAUCCACGUGAUAUCUAACCUUUUUUAGUAAUCAGUUUGUAUACCGUCGUCGUCAGGUAACUUUUAAAAAUUUAGGAGUUGGCGGUAAUAAUUUUUGUUAAUUAAGACGUCAGAUCAAGGUGCAGCUUAUAAAAAGGAGAGGAUGGGUUACAAUUAUAAAAUCAUAAUAACGGAUAGUUUAAUGAAAAAAGCUUUAAGGAGGACUUAAAAGUAAUAUUGUAAUAUAUAAAUAAUUUGAAUUAGGCUCUGAAACGUGC